AAAGUAUCAUGAAUGAUCUCUUGAUCAUUCAUUGAUAGGUUUGAAGUAUUGAAGAUUUUAUCAACCCUAAAAAACCAAAGUCAUGGCCAAUAGAUUUCAUCAACCAUUUAACAACAAAGAAAUAAAAAGUCAACAAAAUUAGUCAAAAUAAAAUAAAUGAUGGAUGAAUAAAAUAUGUGGGUGAAAAUAAAUAGAUGUGAUUAAUAAAAUGUUGGAUUAAAAAUAAAAUAAGUGGUGAAAAUAUGGAAUAAAAAUGUGAUUAAUAAAAUGUUGGAUUAAAAAUAAAAUAAGCGGUGAAAAUAUGGAAUAAAAAUGUGAUUAAUAAAAUGUUGGAUUAAAAAUAAAAUAAGUGGUGAAAAUGUGGAAUAAAAAUGAAAAAAAGAAAUAAGUUAAAAUGAAGAAAAAUAGAAAAUAAAAGAGAAAAAGGAAGAAAAUAAACAAGUGAGGGUGUUAGGGUUGAACCCCUGACCUUGGGGUCAACCCUCAUUCCACUGGGCCAAGCGCCCUUUGGUGAUAAAUGACGUGUUCAAUGAAAUAAAUAAUAAACAUACAAAUAAAAUUAAACACUGGUGAAAUCUUGGCCACUGGAUUAAGUGACUUAUGAAAAGUAAACUCAGUCAAUAAUCCAGAUCAAAAAAG
rnacentral:lncRNA from 1 species